rnacentral:lncRNA from 1 species
CUUCCUGGGGUCCUUCAGCUGCAUUUUAAGUGGGGCACAUGGAGAUGAGACUCCAUCAGCCUUGGUUAGGUUCAGCCUUCUGAAGAAUUUGAGAAUCCAUCAUUGCACUGGAAAAUGGAACAAAAAGUCGACUUCAAAGGACCUUGCCCACAAAAGACACCAGAAUGGCAUGAAAAUGCACCUCACAGACAGAGCACCCAGCUGCUGUGCUUUGAAGUCAGCCACACCUCCCAUUCAUUGCUGUUACCAAUGGACUGACUGAAUGCUGUGGCGAUACUGAGGCCGUCUUAGUCCCGGAAGACAGGUGGGGCUCCUUUGUCCACCGCUUAGGCUGGAGUACUUCCCCAUGGCUUUGACAAACAAUCCUUAGACUGCAGAGUAGUGUAGGAUUCUUCCAUUCAACCUUCUCUCCCUCAUCCUGGGGUCAGACUUGGAUGCAGUCCGACAGCUGUCCCAGCCUUUCCUAGCUCCUUCUUUAUUUCUUUUUACACAGGCAUUUCCCAC